AACGAACGCUGGCGGCAUGCCUAACACAUGCAAGUCGAACGAGACCUUCGGGUCUAGUGGCGCACGGGUGCGUAACGCGUGGGAAUCUGCCCUUGGGUUCGGAAUAACUCAGAGAAAUUUGAGCUAAUACCGGAUGAUGACGUAAGUCCAAAGAUUUAUCGCCCAAGGAUGAGCCCGCGUAGGAUUAGCUAGUUGGUGAGGUAAAGGCUCACCAAGGCGACGAUCCUUAGCGGUCUGAGAGGAUGAUCAGCCACACUGGGACUGAGACACGGCCC
rnacentral:rRNA from 1 species